CAGCCGCCACGGUAAUACGUAGGUCCCGAGCGUUGUCCGGAUUUAUUGGGCGUAAAGCGAGCGCAGGCGGUUAGAUAAGUCUGAAGUUAAAGGCUGUGGCUUAACCAUAGUACGCCUUGGAAACUAUUUAACUUGAGUGCAAGAGGGGAGAGUGGAAUUCCAUGUGUAGCGGUGAAAUGCGUAGAUAUAUGGAGGAACACCGGUGGCGAAAGCGGCUCUCUGGCUUGUAACUGACGCUGAGGCUCGAGAGCGUGGGGCGCAAACAGGAUUAGAUACCCCCGUAGUCCCUGUCUCUUAUACA
rnacentral:rRNA from 1 species